CCUAUCCCUAGAGGUGUUGCAGAUGUAGCUGCUGUGUCACAUGUGUGUCAGUAGGUGGCAAAGAAGCAAGAGGCUAAGUCGAUGCUCAGUGUUCUGACCUAUGGACAUCUGAAUGAUUUGUAGCCAAACAUU